CCCCUCCUUCCACAGCCACGCUGCAAUGUUGCAAAUGUUCUCCUGGGAGUUGAAGUGGUCAAGAUAUUGCCAGCCUUUGUCCUCAUCCUCCUGUCUGAAACAAGGUGAGCCUGUUUCAGGAAGAGACAUGGAUGGAGAUGGUGCAUUUUUAAUGAGAAUGGCAUGCCCUCUGCAGCUUUCUCAGGCGUGGAGCUGGGCCGGGAGCUGGGAACACCUGCUCUUACGUGCUGUAUGUUUCAACCCAUUGAAAGAUCUUAGGGCAAAAUCAAGCAUGGAAUGAUGUUCUGCGGUUUUCAAAACGGUUCCUAGAGGGUUUGAGUUGGAUAGGCUGAGAACAAACCCAUUCACCUGUGACGGAUAUAACCAGACUCCAAUGUCUGGUGAGGGAAAACUGGACAUGUUCUACAGAAACUGAGACACUUGGGCUCUUCAUGUAGAGCAUUUAUAACAUUAUAGUCUGGCCCUAUAUCCAGCCAAGCUCACACCAGUGAAGAGGGUAAGUGUGUUUGCAUCUGUGUGUUUAUGCGAUCAAGUGAAAUCAUCAAAUUUGUUCAUUAGAAAAACUGCAGAUCAAUUUGUUGCAUGAAUAAUGCCAACUCGUAGCCUCAUGAGGAAGCUCUUAGUUAUCUUCAAACCUAACUUUUCUCAGUUCCUUUGGAUAAAUAAACUUGCUUUAGGAAUCA
rnacentral:lncRNA from 12 species